GUCUGUCUCGCUAACAAGUGGGCUGCGGUGGGCAGAAACUCUCGUCUUCCAGCUAACCGCGACGCCGCGCUUGUCCGAACUCUCCGUCGCGGAUUUCGACAAUCAUGCAACGGAUUAGGCUGAUGUGCCGUAGUUAGGGUCGUCUGGUACUGUUAAAUAGGUUGCCCCUCUCCACCUGUCCGUUCGGUCACCACUAUCUACCCAAACAACCAGUGCCGGCAAUCUCGCGUAGAGGAGGGUAGAGCAUCACCAGAGUUGGCCGCUUCACCGACGUGGCAACUGUGGUGCCGUAGGCGACUCGUCGUUGGCCGCGUGGUGUACACCUGGAUCUUGGGGCGGGCCGAUUUGGUGGCUAGGGCACCAGGGGGGAGCUCGUCGGUGACAAGAAUCACCGCGCGUCCGCCUUGUAUCGUGGACAACCACCUGCUACGCUUUCCCUUUGGUAUGUACCUACCCG
rnacentral:lncRNA from 7 species